AUAUAGCGGGUUUUGUGAAUUGUAUUUGUAUAUAUUGUAUUAUAUUCCGUAUGCGACAGCUCUAUGGCGUAGUAGAUAGGGCAGACAAUAUGAAACUUUCCAUGACGGGUUCGAGUCCCGACAUAAUUGUUUACGCACAUAUACCUGUACAAAAUAGUUUCUCUUUUUUGCAACUUAUUUUUAGGCUCUUCACUAUUUAUGCCAAAUAGAACUUGUCUCAAGAAACUAUCUCAAGAAAAAUCUACUUCUUCAAAGUUAUGCCAUAGAUAUGCCAUUGCUUUUGCUUUAUCACAAGACACCAGAUGGCGCCACAUGAACGUCAUUCCAAAGAUAUGCCAUUACUGAAGAUUCUACUCAAGUCAACAGAUGGCGUUACAAAGGCCUAGGAAAGAGGAAAAAUCAACUGUACCUUCACCGGUAUUCCAGCCUCAGAUGCUUCCACCAGUGGCCGAGGAUUCAAGACCGCUGAAUACUGGUAGUUCGAUCCUAGAAGGAUGAGUUGGCUACAUGGCUGGUUUUUUUGAUUUUCAUCACGUUUAACGUAAAUGAAACCUAGUUGCCCCUAGACAAUCUUUUUCGAAGGCAUCUAUGCUCUUAGUUGGAAGUGAAUGAGUGUUUGGGAAAAGAACUGGAUUCAUCAAUUAGCGUCUACAAUCUGAGAUGAAAACAUUUUCUGGCAAUUUAUUUCCAAGAAUGCAGAAGUUUCUAAUUAUUUUCACGCAAAUAUGUUUUAUUCUGUAUGUGUAGAAGUAAAGUUUAAUAAAUAAAAGAAUGAGAGUUAUCAUUAAAUAUUCUCAAGUCUGACUCCUCUUGAAAGUUUUCCACACAAACGUGAAAAGUUUCAGUAACAUUUACUUAUUUUUAGUUUAAGUAAGUUAUUCACUGGUUAAUUCUACAGAAUGCAAUUAUUUGAAAUAAAUGUCACUUCGAAAAUUUCGGAUUGAAGU
rnacentral:lncRNA from 1 species